AGGGCCACACUUGUGGCACUUGUGGCUCCCAGGUUAGGGGUCAACUUGGAGCUACAGCCGCCAGCCUACGCCACAGCAACACCAGAUCUGAGCAGAACUGGCGACCUACACCACAUCUCAUGGCAACGCUGGAUCCCCAACCCACUGAGCAAGGCCAGGGAUCAAACCCCCACCCUUGUAGAUACUAUUUUACAAGAUAAAAGGGUUAUGGGGAUGAAUGGUGGUGAUGGCUGCACAACAAUGUAAAUGUAUCUAUCACUGAACCGUGCACUUCAAAAAAUGGUUAAGAUGGUAAAUUUUACGUUAUGGAUAUUUUUCCACAAUGGAAAAGAAAGAAUUCAAUUACAAAAUCAGCUGAAUGUAAAUAUUAUAAAAAUUUAUUUCUGGGAAAAAAUGGUAGGGAUUGCAGCAUUUUCACUUUCACAAUAUUUAGUGAUAUUUUCAUAUGAUUCAUUUGCUUUUGAGAGUUAAAUUAGAAAACAGAGCUUGUUUACUGGGCAUUAGGAAACCCACAGCACGGACAGGAAAAAGCCGCGAGUGCUGGUUUGCUCCUUGUCGGAUAUGUGAGCCAGUUUCCUCAUCAUAUCUCACCAUUAGACUUGAGAUAAAUCAGUCUGCCCUUAAAAAAAAAAUUUUACACAAAUCCACCCUCUCUGCUGACAAGUCUUGUGAUUUAAAAACAACCUAUUGUGAGGUGAUCUCAAUACACUAAUUGUGUAAAGCAUUUAGAAUGAAGCCAGAUACAUAGCAAACAUUACAUGUGUUAUUCUUAUUCCAGAACUACAAAACUGUAUCCACAAGUCCAAAACUCAAACAAACAAACCCCCCAAAAACUAAAAAUCAAAAAUUUGCCCCCCGAAGUCUGGCACAAAUUAAUUUGGGAGCAAAACCUGAUGUGAACUGAUGGGAGGCUAUUGAUAGUCGAUACUCAUUCCUUAUUCUGCAUUAACAAACUUAACUGAAGAAAUAUUAACAUAUUUGAAUGCUCCUCCACACCCCCAUUAGAGGUAUUAUAUUAUAAUAUACUGUAAUAUAGUAUAGUACAAUAAACUGUAUUACCUCUGUAUUUCCUAAAAAUCUGAAAUACUCUUAAUUUCAAAACAUCCUAAAAAACAAAAAAAGUCCCUGGUCCUGGCCUCAGAAAACAGGAGUUUCAAAGAAGGGACUGUGGACCUAUAUUUUAUUAUCCUUUGUUGGCCAGAGACCUGGUGUGACAACCAGACAAUAUAAGAAAACUCGCCAUCUGGUGGUUGCAGUGGAGAACAAGCAAAACCAAAAUGAAGUAAAAUACACAAAAUACUAUUAUUAAAAUUUCCAAUAGCGUAGCAUUUACAAUAACUGUACGUACACAAAAAACUGACUGCAACUUAAAAUUGAUUACUAAGUUGAUUACACUAUAAAUUGGAAUCACAAAUUUUAAAAUACUUUAAAAUUGCUCUAUCAGUUUGCUGAGAUUUCCUUAUCCCAGAGUGACUCUGAGCAGGUGGAUGUAGCACUUGCUACCUAGACCAGAAUACUCUUCGAUAGCCUGCACUUUCUAAUGCUCUCAUUCUCUUGCUUUCUGCUCUCACAGACUUCCUCUUCUUACCUGAUACAACGAAAAUCAAAGGUCUUCCAACACAUCUUUCACACACAACUUUUAUGCCUGAGGUCAGCACAACUUUUCUGCUAAGGGCCAUUUUGGACACUGUGGGCCAUUUGGUUUCACCUACCUAACUCUGUCAUUGUGGACUGAAAACAGUCAUAGACAUUACAUAUCUAUGACAUAGGCUGCAGCAACACCAGAUCCUUUAACCCACUGCGCCUGGGAUGGAAGCCGUGCCUCAGAGGCAACCUGAGCUGUUGCAGUUGGAUUAACCCACUGUAUCGCAGCAGGAACUCCUAAAAACCAUUUUAAGAUGUAAAAACUAUUCUUAGUUUGUCAGCUGUGCAGACACAGGCAGUGGGCCAGAUUUGGCUCAUGGGAGGGCUAUAGUUUGCUGACACCUGGUUUAACCAAGUUUCGCAACCAAUCAGCAGUGACGUCAAUCCUUGUACAUUCUUUUAAAACUCACAGACCUCUCUGGAAUCUCCCACAUUCAGAAGUUAUUUGGCAGGUAAGAUUUUGUUCAGGGAGUGACCUGGAGUAGGGCUGCACCCCUCCUCCCCACCUUCCUAUGGAACCAUCCAGGCUUAGGUAUCACUUUCAUUGGGACUGUCAAGUGGAAUGCUUUGAGUAGGCAGGUAAAAUAUCGUUUUGCUGUUGCUUUCUUUUCCUUUGCUAACCUGGAAGACUUCAUACCUGUAUCAUUACUCUCUGGUCUAAGAUGUUCCUAAAUAGAGCUAACAGAGAUUGAAAAAACUUUCCAAGCUGGUAAAGCCAGCCAUCUGAUUGUUUUUUUGACCUUGGAGAGGUCAUUAAAACAAAAAAAAUAACAACUUUGCAAUUGGGGGUUCUUUUGUGGCACAGUGGGUUAAGGAUCUGGUGUUGUCACUGCCGUGGUUUGGGUC
rnacentral:lncRNA from 1 species